CCUACGGGUGGCAGCAGUGAGGAAUAUUGGUCAAUGGACGAGAGUCUGAACCAGCCAAGUAGCGUGAAGGAUGACUGCCCUAUGGGUUGUAAACUUCUUUUAUAUGGGAAUAAAAUGUUCCACGUGUGGGUUUUUGUAGGUACCAUAUGAAUAAGGAUCGGCUAACUCCGUGCCAGCAGCCUCGGUAAUACGGAGGAUCCGAGCGUUAUCCGGAUUUAUUGGGUUUAAAGGGAGCGUAGGUGGAUUGUUAAGUCAGUUGUGAAAGUGUGCGGCUCAACCGUAGAAGUGCAGUUGAAACUGGGCGACUUGAGUACAGUAGAGGUGAGUGGAAUUCGUGGUGUAGCGGUGAAAUGCUUAGAUAUAACGAAGAACACCGAUUGCGAAGGCAGCUGACUGGACUGCAACUGACACUGAGGCUCGAAAGUGUGGGUAUCGAACAGGAUUAGAUACCCCUGUAGUC
rnacentral:rRNA from 1 species